UUGAUGUGUUGCGUUUUUAACGGUUUCGAGUCUUGAUUUAGUCCGUGUUUUGAGUCAUUUAUCGUGUCAAAGUCUGUCUUUUGCGUCUUUUCGAUUGUGUCUUGAGUCCUUUGCAGGUUAUAGGUGCUCGAGCUGGAUUCGGAGCAUCUUGUGCGUGAUUGAGCCUAUUUGGAGCUAAAACAAUGGAGAAACGGUACAAGAGAUCACCAGGAGCUGGGGAUCGAUCGAUCCAACCCUCAUCCGUCAAGACGUGUUCAUUCCAGCAGCUCGGGAUCGAUCGAUCCCAGGUGGAGAUCGAUCGAUCCACCCUUUUCGACGACCAGACCGGUUUUCCUUAACCGGGUUUAUUUGCCUUUUUCUGUACUUGGGUAUAAAAACCCAGAGAAACCUAUUUUUUUCUCGACACGUUCUUUUUUUCUGCAACUUUUGAGACUUCUUUUUGUAAGCUUUUUGGGAUUCUAGAGAUUCAUCCUCUUUGA
rnacentral:lncRNA from 1 species